rnacentral:rRNA from 1 species
UCCCCUUCGGGGGACAAAGUGACAGGUGGUGCAUGGUUGUCGUCAGCUCGUGUCGUGAGAUGUUGGGUUAAGUCCCGCAACGAGCGCAACCCUUAAGCUUAGUUGCCAUCAUUAAGUUGGGCACUCUAAGUUGACUGCCGGUGACAAACCGGAGGAAGGUGGGGAUGACGUCAAAUCAUCAUGCCCCUUAUGAUUUGGGCUACACACGUGCUACAAUGGACAAUACAAAGGGCAGCGAAACCGUGAGGUCAAGCAAAUCCCAUAAAGUUGUUCUCAGUUCGGAUUGUAGUCUGCAACUCGACUACAUGAAGCUGGAAUCGCUAGUAAUCGUAGAUCAGCAUGCUACGGUGAAUACGUUCCCGGGUCUUGUACACACCGCCCGUCACACCACGAGAGUUUGUAACACCCGAAGCCGGUGGAGUAACCUUUUAGGAGCUAGCCGUCGAAGGUGGGACAAAUGAUUGGGGUGAAGUCGUAACAAGGUAGCCGUAUCGGAAGGUGCGGCUGGAUCACCUCCUUUCUAAGGA